ACAGCAGUAGCCACGGUAAUGCGAAGGGCGCAAGCGUUAAUCGGAAUUACUGGGCGUAAAGCGUGCGUAGGCGGUGAGUUAAGUCUGCUGUGAAAUCCCCGGGCUCAACCUGGGAAUGGCAGUGGAUACUGGCUCGCUAGAGUGUGUCAGAGGAUGGUGGAAUUCCCGGUGUAGCGGUGAAAUACGUAGAGAUCGGGAGGAACAUCAGUGGCGAAGGCGGCCAUCUGGGACAACACUGACGCUGAGGCACGAAAGCGUGGGGAGCAAACAGGAUUAGAUACCCCCGUAGUCCCUGUCUCUUAUAC
rnacentral:rRNA from 1 species